rnacentral:rRNA from 1 species
ACAGCAGCAGCCGCGGGAAAACGUAGGUGGCAAGCGUUGUCCGGAAUUAUUGGGCGUAAAGGGCUCGCAGGCGGUUUCUUAAGUCUGAUGUGAAAGCCCCCGGCUCAACCGGGGAGGGUCAUUGGAAACUGGGAAACUUGAGUGCAGAAGAGGAGAGUGGAAUUCCACGUGCAGCGGUGAAAUGCGUAGAGAUGUGGAGGAACACCAGUGGCGAAGGCGACUCUCUGGUCCGUAACUGACGCUGAGGAGCGAAAGCGUGGGGAGCGAACAGGAUUAGAUACCCGAGUAGUCCCUGUCUCUUAUAC